rnacentral:tRNA from 1 species
AUUCAAAUAGUUUAUGGCAAAAUAUUGAUUUGUGGGGUCAAAGAUAUAGUUUUUAUUUUGAAUA